rnacentral:rRNA from 1 species
AACUCGCCUGCAUGAAGUCGGAAUUGCUAGUAAUCGCAGAUCAGCAUGCUGCGGUGAAUACGUUCCCGGGCCUUGUACACACCGCCCGUCACACCAUGGGAGUCGGUAACACCCGAAGUCGGUAGUCUAACCGAAAGGAGGACGCCGCCGAAGGUGGGAUUGAUGACUGGGUGAAGUCGUAACAAGGUAUC